AGCGAACGCUGGCGGCAGGCUUAACACAUGCAAGUCGAACGGGCACCUUCGGGUGUCAGUGGCAGACGGGUGAGUAACACGUGGGAACGUGCCCUUCGGUUCGGAAUAACUCAGGGAAACUUGAGCUAAUACCGGAUACGCCCUUACGGGGAAAGGUUUACUGCCGAAGGAUCGGCCCGCGUCUGAUUAGCUAGUUGGUGGGGUAAUGGCCUACCAAGGCGACGAUCAGUAGCUGGUCUGAGAGGAUGAUCAGCCACACUGGGACUGAGACACGGCC
rnacentral:rRNA from 1 species